AUUGAACGCUGGCGGCAGGCCUAACACAUGCAAGUCGAACGAGUGGCGGACGGGUGAGUAAUGUCUGGGAAACUGCCCGAUGGAGGGGGAUAACUACUGGAAACGGUAGCUAAUACCGCAUACCCUCGGAUGUGCCCAGAUGGGAUUAGCUAGUAGGUGGUGUAACGGCUCACCUAGGCGACGAUCCCUAGAUGGUCUGAGAGGAGGACCAGCCACACUGGAACUGAGAGACGGGCAAUAGUCCGACGGGUGGCAGCAGUGGUGAAUAGUGCACUAUUGCAGAAAGCCGGAUGCAGUCAUGCCGCGUGUAUGAAGAAGGCCUGCGGGUUGUAAAGUACUGUCAGCGGGGAGGCGUUACCCGCAGAAGAAGCGCCGGCUAACUCCGUGCCAGCAGCCGCGGUAAUUC
rnacentral:rRNA from 1 species